UCCAUAAUGGUGUAAUGGCUAACAUCGCUGUCUUUCAUUUGAAUUUGAUCACAGCAGCUCGGGGUUCGAUUCCCCGUUGUGGAA